rnacentral:rRNA from 1 species
UAGUCCACGCCGUAAACGAUGCCUACUAGCCGUUGGGAGACUUGAUUUCUUAGUGGCGCAGCUAACGCACUAAGUAGACCGCCUGGGGAGUACGGCCGCGAGGUUAAAACUCAAAUGAAUUGACGGGGGCCCGCACAAGCGGUGGAGCAUGUGGUUUAAUUCGAUGCAACGCGAAGAACCUUACCAGGUCUUGACAUCCUGAAAACUUUCCAGAGAUGGAUUGGUGCCUUCGGGAAUUCAGUGACAGGUGCUGCAUGGCUGUCGUCAGCUCGUGUCGUGAGAUGUUGGGUUAAGUCCCGUAACGAGCGCAACCCUUGUCCUUAGUUGCCAGCACAUAAUGGUGGGAACUCUAAGGAGACUGCCGGUGACAAACCGGGAGGAAGGUGGGGACGACGUCAAGUCAUCAUGGCCCUUACGACCUGGGCUACACACGUGCUACAAUGGAACGCACAAAGGGCUGCUAACCCGCGAGGGGGANCGAAUCCCACAAAACGUUUCGUAGUCCGGAUUGGAGUCUGC